ensembl:lncRNA
GAGAAACAGAGGAGCCCAGGAUGACUCUAAGAUUCUGCCUUGAAUAAUUUGACUGAAUGAACCUUGAGUGUAUUUACCAAAGUAGGUGAAACAGGAGGAAGACAAACGACUGAGUUGAAGUAACUGUGAAACUCCGGUGACAAUUUUCAGUAAAAUUUCUGAAGAAGUACUUGAAUUUUUUUUCUUGGAUAGCAGCCCUACUACACACCAGAGACUUGAAGCUACAAACCUUUGUUUUCCUCAGGUUCUUUCAAGCAUUAACAUUCUGAUGCCAUAUUCUUAUGACAAAGACUAAUAAGAAGGGAAAAUGGCACACCCUGGAUCUAUUUUAGCGAUAAAGAUAAGAGUGGGAAAUGGUAAAAAUCUCCCUUGUUCUCAUUAUGACAGCGCUAAAACCGCCAUCAAUUAUAAUCACUCACCACAUCCCUAACGGGGGACUUCAUUGGCAACAUCUCUUCUACACAAACUAGGUCUCCUGUAAUCCGGUAUGUAUGUGAAAUAUAUAUGGAAAUAUAUUGAUAGUGCUUACACUGAUGGCAUUCUCUUCACUUAUAAAAGCAUGCGCUGAAAAAGAAGUGAUGUCAGCACAUAGCAGCGGGGUUUCCAUAAGACAGUUAUUUCUGUUUUAUUGCCUAUCAUCUUAUAGGCAAAAUAGAAAACGUUCCAAGCAUUUAUCUUGACCUAUAUUUCACAGUCAGAGCUAUCUACGCAGGAGUUUUGUUUUGCCCAAUGUGCAAAAAUAUUAAUACACUUCCUUCCUACCCUUUGCCUAUGGCCUCAUGUUCGUUUCUGUUCAAUUUGACUUGACUCAUUUCUGUCCUCCUUUCUUUAGCUUCUCCCCGCUUUCCUCCCUCCCUCACUCCUCUCUCUCUUCUUCCAGCAAAUUGCUGUUGGGUCUAUGAUGUUCUAGAUUUGGAAAGUCAGACACUUACAGUCAUGCUGGAGAAGAAAACGUGAACAUAUAAAAAAGUCCUGUGGCUCAAGAUGAUACGUUAUAUGAUGAAGAGGCAAGAAAACAGUAUACAGAAGGUGCAAUUAGCAUUCAGUGGCAAUAGAGAUCCCUACAGAACUGGUGUUUUUGAGGAUGGCUUCCUAAAAAACAUUUCCUUUAAUCUAUUGCUACAUAAUAACCACCCCAAAAUGUGGUGGCUUAAAAAAAGCAACAACUUUUUAUUUGUCUUCAUGGUAUCCUCUGGGCUGGGCUCGGCUGUCUUCUGCUUCACCUGGUGUCUGUGGGUUAUGGAAUGUGCAAAACGGCUUCUUUGCUCCAAUGCCUGGCACCUCAUCUUGAUGGACAGAACAGGUGGGAGCUGACUGGGUAUCUUUCUCCACGAGGUCUCCCCACUAGAGUAGCAGAACUUCUUUGCGUGGUGGCUGGAGGCUCCAAGAAAGAGCAUUUCAAGAAUGCCAUGGAAAACUUGCUAAUGUUCCAUUGGCCAAAGCGAGUCACUGAGGGAGGCAGUGAAUACUGGUGGCUAAUGAAUGCUUGGUUCACCAGAGGCCACCAAUCUAAACAAAGCAUUUGGAAGACCUGACUAUACACGGGGUGUGAGGAAAGAAGAGAAGUCACAUAUGGAGAAUUUGAGCUUGAAUGAUUAGAAAAAUCGAGGAAGGACCGUUCAUUAGAAGAGCAGAAGUUAUACGGAAGGACCAGUUUCAGACAUGGUAAGUUUGAGAAGAUGAAAAUGUCUGCUAGGCAGACAGAGAAAAUUUAUUGGAAUAAAGACAUUAGCUGAGGGCUGAAGUUCUAAACUCUGGAGUCAUAUGCAGAAAACAGGUAGUUAAAGCUGUGUGACUGGAUGGGUUCUGAGAAAGAUAGAAACUGGAUCAAUGAACUUUGAGCUAGGCUUAUAGUUAGAAGUUGGAAGGAGGAAGAGGAGCCAGAUUGGGAGAUAAAGAUACUGUAUAUUCCUCUCACAUUUUGUGACACUGUUAGAAUUUUUAUAUUUCUAGUUGAAUUCGACUCUCAUUUGUAUGCAUCUGAGAGUAAAAUUUAAUUGAGAAAUAAUUUAGCUUUAUUUUAGCGACUUUUACUGUGGAACACCUCCAGUGCCUUAGGUUGCUGACUUAAAAAUAUGCAUUUAUUAAUAAUAGCUAAUAUCUUUGGAACUUCCUCAUGGUUCUCAAGUAGGUGGAAUAAAUGUAUGAAAACUAAAGUUAAUGAUACAGCACGACAGAAUUAAGUUUUUAUUAAUUAAUUUUAUUAAUUAAGCUUUGUUAAUCUUUCCACCGUCCUGCUUUUGGAAAAUAACAAAUUGUAUAAAAGCUUCAUUUCGGUAAUGAAUUAAUUUUCUUCUUAUAAAAUGAACUUGAUAUUGAGGCUAGAUCAAUGGGCAGGAUUUUUAAAAUAUGGUACAGAAAUAUUUUCUCGGUAUCCACUGACAAAGUCAAGCCAAUUUUCAGAGGCUAUUAAGAGUUUUCUAAGAAUGCGUUGCACACAUAAUGAGAAGUGUUGGCUGAGGAACUGUGUUCAGAAACUCCCUGGGGAACUGUAAGCACUGUCUCCUCUCGCUGAGCCACCCAGGCAGGCCGUAGGCCGUCUAGACGGUGACCAAGCCGUCAGACCCAGACACUGUGGGCGGGCCUGGAGCCCCCUCGCUCUGCAGCCAGAGGGGCUGAGAUACGCCACAGAAACCAUUUGGAAUGUAUUCUUUUUACUCAGUCCUCUGCUUUUAGAGAAAAAUGUGGCGGCUAGGAGAAUUCGGUCAAGACUGAAAUUAAAUAUGUAUGCCUUGAAUUGUUCCAUGGUAUCACUGAUUUCCCCUUUCUCUCCCACUUUUAAAUCAUUUUGGAUUUAUUGUAUGGAAAACAACUGUACAUACUUGCUUAUCUGCAAGAAUAUAAUGAGAAUGAUAUAAAAUGUGGUUGUAACUUUAAUAUGUAUUGUGUAACAAUUUUAUUAUGUGUGUUAGUUGGUUCCCUCCCCUUUUUAAAAUGUUCAUGGUAAUAGAGAUGUGUGUUGUAUAGGCUGUGUCUUCCCUAAUGUGCUACACUGUGAUCUAAUAAGAAUAGGUAACAUUCACUGAGUUCCCGCUACGUCCUCGGCCACCUUGAUCCUCACAGCAGCCUGAUGAGUUCGGUGCUAUGAUUCUUAAUUUGCAGAAUAGAAAACUGAGACGUGGAGAGGUUCCUGCCCGAGGAAACACAGCUAGUAAGAGGCAGUGCAGGAUUCAAACAUGUAUCUCUGAAUUUACAUCUGGAGCUUUUAACUGCUUUCCAGGCGCCAGACAUUGUAUGAUCUUUCUCUUACUGUGUUGCAAUUCAUUUAUUUUGUACCUUUAAAAAUCUUGAACUGUGAAACUGAGGACAAAUUGGCCAAUGAAAAAAGGGCGCUUGUCUAUAAUCGUAUUUUCUUGCUGUUGGCUCACUAUUUCGUGAAGGGCCACAUCUGUAAUCAGGUUAGUAAUAAUAAAUACACAGUGCUUGCUAUAUGUCAGUAUUGUUUGAAGCAUAUUUUGUGUUUUAGCUCAUUUAAUCCUCAAAACAACCCUUUGAGAUAGGCAUUCUUUUACAGAUAAGAAAACUGAACACAGAGAGGUUAUGUAACGUGCCCAGGUCACACAGCUAUUAAGUGGCAAAGUCAGGGUUCAGACUCAGGGAAUCUAGCCUCAGAGUCCACAUAUUUAACCACUACAUGUACUGCUGCUCUAGUUUUAAUUUGUUUUCUUAAAAGCUACAUCUUUUUUACAUAAUAAUUUUGAUGGCAACAAAUUAAACAAUCAAAAUUAGUUUUGCCCAUACAAAGGCUGAGAUAUAUUUCAU